UAAAAUACCAGUGCCUGAACCCUGCGAACAUGUGCUUUGUCUUCUCGAACGAAUGCUAUUCAUACUUGAACUAAGAAGAUACGGUACACUGCUACUGGUAUUUGGCAUACUUCCACCCUAGAAAUACAAGGAAUCUUUUAUACCUCAGUGUGUCAAGUUGAUCGCAAAAGCUUAACAACGUUAUUCAUUACACAGAAAAUGUCGCGGGUAUUAGCUUUUUACAUCAGCUAUCAGAUGAAUCAGCGGAACAGCAAAGUCAAGGUAUGGCAAGGUACCAUUGCAAAGGAUAAGCUAAUGCCAAAGGGUCUGAAAUUUGACUAAAAUAACUUGAAGAUUAUUAAUUAAAAAAGAUGUUAAAUGUACUGAAGUGUUUAUAUGUAUACGUUUCGAUUAUAAACAAUAUAUUGUGACAUUCGUAAGCAAA